rnacentral:tRNA from 1 species
GUGGCUGAGUGGCCGAAAGCAACGCACUGCUAAUGCGUUGGCUCCGUAAGGGGCCCGUGGGUUCGAAUCCCACCCUCACCGCCA